rnacentral:lncRNA from 1 species
AGCAGGUUAAAAUCUCAUCAGUCCAUUCCUUCUGUGCUUCCGCUGUGUCCUGGCGAACUCUGCAUCGGCUGCUGGCUGGAGGUGAGAAUAGGCCUGAUGCCUGGGGAGCGGGGAGGAACCCUGCCCGCCAGGUGAUGGAGCUGGCAGGUGUGGUCACACCUGGGAGAGUUUUGCCCAGCCACAGGUAGGAGGUGCAGGGACCCCAUGGGGCCCGGUGUCAGCAGCCGAUUCCCAUCCGGAGUCAGGGAAGGCACUGGGCUCGUGGCCGGACCAACCUUCCUAUAGUAGGAGAGGAGCGGGGCGUGGCUGUGACGGACAACUGCUGUGUGGGGCAGCGGCCCCUGUGCCAACUUACUCACAACACCUGUCAUCACGUGCUGUGAACGCGGCUCUCUGUUAUGAUUAAUUUAUGCUCGUGUGUCGUAAGCCAGCACAGACUAUUUUGAAGCCAUCACGCGGAGUCUCUUGCUGAGGAGAACACUUCCCGUGGACAACUUUUACCCAGCGUGCUCCCCUGUGAUGGGACGAGCUGCGAACGCCCUGAUUUCCUAAGAAUGGAUGUGCACUUGCAAACCAAGACGGAAGGGAGUCCAGGUGAACGACGCGCCCAGCGCCUGGUCCUCACUUCAGUCCUUCCCUGGGGCUGCUUUACCGGAGGCUUCGAAGCUGACGUCGCAGCUCACUGCCAUGUUAACUUCCUACCUGACAGUGCCGGAGGCCGGAUGCCUGGAAUGUGUGCCCUGGUGUCAGAGCUGGGCUCUUCCCGAGCCAGCCACCGCUCCACCGUCCCAUCGCUCCCCACCCUGCUCUCCAGCCUCCGGCCACCCCGGCUCACUUCCGCAAACCAGGACCAACACACUGUGAGGACCUGGUAGGUCAGGCGUCCUUGGUGGAAAGGAAGGAGUAAGAGGAAAAGUCUGGUCUGGGAGCAAAGAAGAAGAAGAAAGCUGCACUGUGCAGCUAAUGCUGAAACACGGGCUCCAGAACCAGAUCUUAUGGACCUCAAUCCUGGCCCCGACAAUUGUAGCCUGACCUGGGCAGAGGUUCUGUCUCUCUACCCAGAAGUUCGGGAUCCAGGCUCUGAGCCUCACAGGCUGUCGCCACCCACACUCCAAGAGAUUCUUAUUGGCUCAAAGGUAGUCAGGUGCUCACUUCGGAGCCAAUCCAAUAUCUCCUCAGUCAGGAGCUAGCCCUAGAAACGUGGCUGCUGGAGGGAGUAUUCAACCCUGUGUCUAAUCCUGUCCUGGGCCCAGCUAGGCCAGGAGAGGUACCUUGAGUCUGGAACUGGGAACUGGGAACUGGGAACUGUUCGGAUUUCAACUGUCCUACUCUACUAGUCCCAGGCAUUUGCAAAACGCAAAUUCUCUGAAAUUCUAGUUUUUGACACCCAAAUGAUAAGCCAUUAAUG